UAAUCAGGGCGACUCUGGACAUGAUGGAAUGAAGGGUCCUCCAGGACCAAUGGGGGCCCAGGGGCCUACAGGCGGAGUCGGACCACCAGGACUGGAUGGGCCUGAGGGAGAUCAUGGUCCAUCCGGUCCCAGGGGUCGUAAGGGCCCUCACGGGCUGUCAGGAUUAACAGGAGAGACUGGCUCACCUGGACCACCAGG